GACAGAGGGUGCAAACGUUGCUCGGAAUUACUGGGAGUAAAGCGCGUGUAGGCGGACCACCAAGUCGGACGUGAAAGCCCUGAGCUCAACUCAGGAACUGCAUCCGAAACUGGCGGUCUGGAGUAGUGGAGAGGAAAGCAGAAUUCCUGGUGUAGAGGUGAAAUUCGUAGAUAUCAGGAGGAACACCGGUGGCGAAGGCGGCUUUCUGGACACUUACUGACGCUGAGACGCGAAAGCGUGGGGAGCAAACAGG
rnacentral:rRNA from 1 species